rnacentral:lncRNA from 1 species
UUUUUUUUUUUUUUUUUUUUUUGUCUUUUUUAGGGCCACACCCUUGGCCUAUGGAGGUUCCCAGGCUAGGGGUCAAAUUGGAGGUGUAGCCACCGGCCUACACCACAGCCACAGCCACACCUCAUCCAAGCUGCAUCUACAACCUACACCAUGGUUCUCAGCAACACUGGAUCCUUCACCCACUGAGUGAGGCCAGGGAUCAAACCUGCGUCCUCAUGGAUGCUUGUCAGGUUCAUUAACUGCUGAGCCACAACGGGAACUCCACAUUCAGCUUUUUUAAAGAGCUUCCCAGUGCAGAGGUGCCCAACAGCUGGUGGCACAGAGUCUCAGGCCUGAGCCAGAGGUCAUUGCUUUCUGGAAGCACAGACCUGCUCAGCAAGCUGCAGUCUUGGGCUCAGACCUGAACUUACAGGGAAAGAAAGACCUGCAAAAAAAGAUCAGAGUGAACCAAGAGAAAUUGUUCAAGCCUGUUCUUAUCUCCGCUCCUGGUGGGCUUCGAGGUGGGCUGCAGCACCUGACGAGGGCCCCGUGAGGAAAGCUGGGCCGGGAGGAAGUGGCUUUCCUGGGCUGGAGUGGAGCCCAAGGCCUGGAUGAAAUCCCUUUGUACAUCUGCUUCCCUCGGAAGGGAUCCCUAACGCCCAGGCUCUGCCAGGUAGAAACCAAACCAGCCCUGGGCCAGGAGCCAGAGCAAGGGCUUACCUGGUAGGAACAUCUGCUAAGCCGCUAUUUUAAUGAUCAUAAGUUCCUACAGUGGGUGCCCCCAGUACCCUGGCUGCUCUGGUAGUGAAAUCGUGUGUCUAUUUACCCGGUACAGAGGAGACCCAAUGCCCAGAGCCAAGCAGAGGGUGUGUGUGUGUACAUGCCUGCAUUUUUCAGAAGUGAAGAUAUUUGCAUAACAUAGAUAUCGUUGCAGAUACCAGAUAAACAGGAAGUUUCAGAACCUAUGACAUUUCCUUUCACUGUUAAUCAGCGGCCUCUUUCUUCUCAUACAGAAAUGGUGAAAAUCACAGGGCAUGGGUCUGGAGCAUGAAGUAUAGGAGAAGGAGCACAAAGGGUUCCAGUCCCCUUCUUGACAGGGGGCUUCCCUGGACACAUGUCCAUGCAGGUGCUCCUCUGACCACCACCCUCCACCUACCCGACUUCCAACAGCGCUUCCAGGGCUUCCCGAUCACGAGCCCUAAACACAUCAAUGGAACAGAGUCCAGCCACACAACAUACGUUCCAUCUGUGCUUGGGAGAGGCCCAUCCGGGAGACGGGGGGAGCACCCACCCCCUGGUUCCUGGCCCCAGGUUUGUGUCACAGAGAGGUGAUGCCAUGUAACAAGCAUGCCCUGGACUAGGCCCUGGAAUCCCUGGAUUCAGACCCCGACUCUAGCCAGAGAGACCUUGGGCAAAAGCCCUUUGUCCUCUGAGCCCGGGUUUCCCUCUCUGUUAGGUGGGGCUGAUAUCCCUGCAGGUUUGGGGCUAGUAAUACCUGUGAAAAGCAAGGAAUAUAAAGCUGCAAAUAAAAGCACAGGCUUUGGAGUCAGAUAUGAGUUCACAAAGCAGCUCCAUUGUGUUCUGGCUGAGACUUGGGGCAAAUUGCACAGGACAGCGAGCCAUACCCUACUGACCCCACCUUCACCGCGAGGGGCAGGGGUGUGGGGAGAGGUGCAGGGAGGGUGCAGGAGGCUUGUUCCGGUAAGAAACACAACAUACUAACCUAGGUAUUUACUCUGGGGCUUGGACACAGUGGACUCACUGGCCAAGCACCAAGAGCUGUAUUCAGACAGUCUGGCUUUGCAUCCUGGCUCUGCACAAACUGUCUAAUUGCAAACAAAUCUGCUACCCUCUCUCAACCUCAACUGCCCAGUCUGUACAAUGGAGACUAGGGCUAGUACACAGGGCUGAUUUUGCAAACACUGAAUAACCAACUUGGGCACUAACCUAUUAAAUGAAUCCCAGCUGGUACCAGGUCACACCUGCUAAACAUUAACUCAGCUAGUUUCCAUGGCAGAGGUGGUUAUGGUUCCUGGCACAUUUCAAACACCCUAACCAUUAGCUAUGACUUUUAUGUUUGGUUCAUGUCACACAGGCCCCAGGGGAGGGAUAUUCAGAGAAGUGGUGGCUCCAGACAGACCUGGUCUUUGUUCUGUCCCAGGUGAACUGAGAUGCCCCCUUGCCUCUCUUUGCUCACCGGAGUCACACAUGUACUGGGGAAGGAAUGGAUGUGGUCUGAUCUGCCCAAUACAAAUGGGCCCUGGGUUCCCCCUGGGUAGGAGCUGUUUUCUCCGUGAAAAUCUUCAUCACGGCCCUGAAGAGCCAAAUCCCCUGGUGGCCCAGUCACAGAGUUUGUUCAUAGCACGAGCCAAGCCAGUGCGUGGCGAACACAUCCCACACUGGGGCCCCUUGCAUUGCCUGGAUGGAAAAGUCCAGAGAGGUUUAUUGUGCCUGUACCAUUGCACAGGUGCUGUUUCUGGAGCCAGAGUCUCUUUCCCUCCUGUUAUCACUCCUUGGACCAGGGUUUGUUUUUUUGCAUUGUUUUGUUUUGCUUUGCUUUUUAGGGCCACACCUGUGGCAUAUGGAAACAUGGGGUCAAUAUUGGAGCUACAGCUGCAAGCCACAGCCACGCAGGAUCUGAGCCGUGUCUGUGACCUCCACCCCCACUCAUGGCAAUGCCAGAUCCUUAACCCACUGGGUGAGGCCAGGGAUGGAAUCCACAUCCUCAUGGGUAGUAGUCAGUUUCCUAACCCUCUGAGCCACAGUGUCAACUCCCAGGCCAUUUUUUGGAAAAGGGUCCCAGGGCAUGCAGAGCAUGGAGGCAACCUUCCCCAGCAGUAGUUUAUUUUCUGGCACCCCAGCUCUGCUUCCAAAGCCAGAAAUAUCAGGGAUGCCAGGCCCAGCUUCCCAAAGGCUGAAGGUCAUUCUGCCCCUAGGGAGAGUCUGCAGGAGGUCAAGUCUGCUAGACGGCCAGUCACCCUGGAGGCCUGUGAUCCCCUGCCUAGGCUUGGAUGUCCUGCUGGGCCCCCUGGUGAAGAGGAAAUGCAGCUGUCUUUCUCCUGCAGACCUGGAGGUACAUCUAUGUCCAGGGCUUCCUAUCUAUGAAAUCCUGUCCUGUCACCUCAUAAAAGAUGCUCCUGCUAGAGGGAGAGCGAAAGGCGGCCAGGGAGGGAGGUGACUCCUCCUCCUUGGGGCACCAGCUCUGGAAACGUAGCCUCGGUGAUGGCUGCCCAUCAGGGCCAGAUAAUAGAAUGCAAACCCCAAUGGGGUUUUCUGGGAACUGUUUUAACAGUGGACUUUUUUGUUUUUAGAACUGCACCCUUCAUGAUUAGAGCCCCAGAAGAAUUCGCCUGUGGGUUUUUGAGCAUCUAUAGCUGUCCUUUGGUUGCUGUGUCAUAACAGUCAACAAUACAAAGCAACAUUGUAAUCAUAACGCUCCCCUAUCUUGUCUAUAAACUGUUUCCACUUCUAGCAGAUGGGUUUUGUUUUUUGGUUUUUGGGGUUUUUUUGUUUUUGCCAUGCCCAUAGCAUAUGGAAAUUCCUGGGCCAGGAACUGAACUUGUGCCACAGCAGGACCCAAGCCUCUGCAGUGACAACACUGAUCCUUAACCCACUGAGCCACCAGGGGACCCCUCUAGCAGGUAUUUAUACACUUUCUUUCCUUCGAUGUAUUCCUUGCCAAAAUUCCAUGAGAAAGGAAGUGUAAUACUUAUGCUUUAAUUAUAAUAAUACCUAUACUUACACGUUCAUCAUAAUUAUUAUAAUCAACAAUAAAGUAAAUUUUAUUUUAAUAAAUAAAACAUGUAUUAAACUUUUUCAACAUGCCAGGUUUUGUGCUCAUCAUCUUUUAACUAACGUCUCAUUCGUUUCCUCCAUGAGCCCUAUAAAGUCCUAUUUUAUCCCCAUUUCACAGGUGAGUAAAUAGAAACCCAGGAUUCCAGCCCAGAUCCACUGUCCCCAGAGCCUGUGAGCAUCCCCACUGCAUCUUCUCACUCAUCCCCUAUGGGGGGAGGCAAGGGCCAGGGGACUGAGGAACCCCCCUGAAUACAGGCCGCUAUAUUGGCCAAGCUCCAGGAUGCAAACCCUCCUGGCUUUCCUGGCGGGUCAGAAAUCGGGGUCUGACUUCCCACUGCCUCCCUGCCAGUUAGUGGUGACUCCCUUCAGCACAGAUGAAAUCAUCAGGAGGACUUCUGAAGCUGCACUGACGGCUCUGGAUUAGCCACUCCAGCUAUCAGAUUGACACUUUGGGAGCGCAAAUAAAAUAGGCAGCAAGUAGAGUUCCCAUAUCCUCCCCAGCCCCAGUUUCCCCUGUCGUGAACACCUUGGCAUUAGUGUGGCACAUUGGUUAUAAUUGAUGAGCCAAUUUUCACACUUUAUUUUUAAUUAAAGUCUGUAUACUGAUUCUCUUCUUGGUUCUCGUAGAAGGUGUUGUACCUUCUAUGGUUUGGACAAAGGUUCAAUGAGACGUGUCCAUGGCUACCGUACCAUACAGAGGGGUUACACUGCCCCCCAAAUCCCAUCUUCUCACUAUCCUCCCCUCUCCUCCAGUUCCUCACCCCUCUCCUCUUGCCCCAGUUGCUGGCAGCCACUGAUCUUUUUAUAGUCUCCAUAGUUUCACCUUUUCUAGAAUGUCAGGUAUAGCAGUUGGAAUUAUACAACAUGGAACCUUUUUUAGGUUGGCGUCUGUCACUUAGUAAUACCCAUUUAAGUUUCCUUCCUGUCUUUUUGUGGUUGACUAGCUCAUCUCGUUUAUUGCUGAAUACAAUUCUGUUGCUUGGAGGCACCACAGUGGAUCCAUUCACCUACAGCAGGAUAUCCUGGUUGUUUCCAGCUUUGGACAAUUAUGAAGAAAGCUGCUAUCAGCAUCUGUGUGCAGGUUUUUGUAUGAAAGUUAAGUUUUCAAGGAGAACAAUUGCUGGAUUGUAUGGUAAGAGUAUGUUUAGCUUUGUAAAUAUUUUAAACCUAGUUUCACUUUGGAUGUUAUGCUUGUUUUUGUUUUUUUGCCUUUUCUUGAGCUGUUCCUGCGGCAUAUGGAGGUUCCCAGGCUAGGGGUCGAAUUGGAGCUGUAGCCACUGGCCUAUGCCAGAGCCACAGCAAUGUGGGAUCCAAGCUGUGGCAACGCCUGAUCCUUAAUCCAGUGAGCAAGGCCAGGGAUCGAACCCGCAACCUCAUGGUUCCUAGUCGGAUUUGUUAACCAUGGCGCCACGAUGGGAACUCCUGGAUGUUAUGUUUUUAUGUGAAUGCUUAAGUUGAUCUGGGGAUUUACAACUCUUAAUAAGAGCAAGGGACGCCUCAAGUACAAUGGUCUAGCUGUCCAGCCUCCCUCUUAUACGCACCCGCACCAACCUCUCUGGCCUUUGUCCUCCCCAGGGCACACGCAUAUCUGCUCUCAGACCCACCAAGCUGGGGUUCAGUGCCAAAGCCUGGUUCCCACCUUCUCCAGGGCAGGGGAGUAAUUGUAUGGCUUUUAAGGGCAGUUAAAAUUCAGCUCCUGCUGGAGUUCCCUCGUGGCGCAGUGGUUAACGAAUCCGACUAGGAACCAUGAGGUUGUGGGUUCGAUCCUGGCCUUGCUCAGUGGUGUGCGUCGCUGACUUAGCUCAGAUCCCACGUUGCUGUGGCCCUGGCAUAGACUGGUGGCUACAGCUCCGAUUGGACCCCUAGCCUGGGACCUCCAUGUGCCACGGGAGCGGCCCAAGAAA